AACGAACGCUGGCGGCAGGCUUAACACAUGCAAGUCGAACGCCCCGCAAGGGGAGUGGCGCACGGGUGAGUAACGCGUGGGAACAUGCCCUUCGGUUCGGAAUAACACAGGGAAACUUGUGCUAAUACCGGAUACGAUCUACGGAUGAAAGAUUUAUCGCCGAGGGAGUAGCCCGCGUAGGAUUAGCUAGUUGGUGAGGUAAUGGCUCACCAAGGCGACGAUCCUUAGCUGGUCUGAGAGGAUGAUCAGCCACACUGGGACUGAGACACGGCCCAGACUCCUACGGGAGGCAGCAGUGGGGAAUAUUGGACAAUGGGGGAAACCCUGAUCCAGCCAUGCCGCGUGGGUGAUGAAGGCCUUAGGGUUGUAAAGCUCUUUCGCCAGGGAAGAUAAUGACGGUACCUGGAAAAGAAGCCUCGGCUAACUCCGUGCCAGCCGCCGCAGUAA
rnacentral:rRNA from 1 species